rnacentral:rRNA from 1 species
AUUGAACGCUGGCGGCAGGCCUAACACAUGCAAGUCGAACGAGUGGCGGACGGGUGAGUCAUGUCUAGGAAACUGCCCGAUGGAGGGGGCUAACUAAUGGAAACGGUAGCUAAUACCGCAUACCAUCGGAUGUUCCCCGAAGGGGUUAGCUUGUAGGUGGGGUAACGUCUCACCUAGGCGACGGUCCCUAGCUGGUCUGGGAGGAUGACCAGCCACACUGGAACUGAGACACGGUCCAGACUCCUACGGGAGGCAGCAGUGGGGAAUAUUGCACAAUGGGCGCAAGCCUGAUGCAGCCAUGCCGCGUGUAGGAAGAAGGCCUUCGGGUUGUAAAGUACUUUCAGCGGGGAGGCGUUACCCGCAGAAGAAGCACCGGCUAACUCCGUGCCAGCAGCCGCGGUAAUAC